rnacentral:rRNA from 1 species
GGACCUGACUGCUAUCGGAUUGAUACUAAGCCAUGCGAGUCAUUGUAGUAAUACAAGGCAGACGGCUCAGUAACGCGUAGUCAACCUACCCUAUGGACGGGGAUAACCUCGGGAAACUGAGAAUAAUACCCGAUAGAACAUUAUGCCUGGAAUGGUUUAUGUUUCAAAUAAUUUAUUGCCGUAGGAUGGGACUGCGGCCUAUCAGUUUGUUGGUGAGGUAAUGGCCCACCAAGACUAUUACAGGUACGGGCUCUGAGAGGAGUAGCCCGGAGAUGGGUACUGAGACACGGACCCAGGCCCUAUGGGGCGCAGCAGGCGAGAAAACUUUGCAAUGUGCGAAAGCACGACAAGGUUAAUCCGAGUGGUUUCUGCUAAAGGAACCUUUUGUCAGUCCUAGAAACACUGAUGAAUAAGGGGUGGGCAAGUUCUGGUGUCAGA